UUGGUUGGCCAAAAAGUUCAUUUGGGGUUUUCCCUAAUAUCUUCUGGAAAAACCCAAACAAACUUUUUGGCCAACCCAAGA
rnacentral:miRNA from 1 species